GGAGAGGGUGUUUUUAUAGUGUGUUUGAUUUGGUGUUUCCCCAGAGCAUACUGCAAAGUGGAGAAUGAAUUCAUCUAAUGGAUUGCUAUAAGUUUUGGUUUUACUGAACAAGUGCUUUUGUCUACCCUCAAGGGUAUUGAUAAUAAGUGUAGGUCCUUUUGGACUGAAAUCAGAGAGAGAAAAAAAAAGCUUAACCCUAUCAAGGUCCUGAAAUUCGGAUUUGUCCUCACAUCUGUAUUGGGGGAGAUAGAGAGCAAAAGUUGGAAGAUAGACUCUGGAAAAUGCCACGUGAUAUUUACACCUGACCUCUCAGUUUGGUGGUCUGUUAUCCAGGUCAUCAUUUUUUCACCUUUUGCAUUCUGUUGAUCUUUUUACAAGAGAGCUCCACCAUGGAAGGCAAACAGAAAGAGUUAGUCCAUGGAAGUUCACACUUCAGAGCUGAUGACUUUAAGCAGUGGAUGAUCAAAGCAGGGCUGGCUACAGAUGGAAACUCUGGGCUUGAAGUGUAGAUGUCCCUGAGCAUGUCCUUCAUUCGGAGAAAUGAAUUGAUAAGGAGUGCAGGACUCUGCACUUGCUUGUGUGAAACUACCUGCUGUUCUUGCCAGCCUGCCCUUGUGUCUUGCAGAGGGCCCUUUCCUACCCCCGUAUCACCUCGAUGUGAUGCUGCACAACCGGCAAGUUGGGUCAAGCUG